rnacentral:rRNA from 1 species
AUUGAACGCUGGCGGCAGGCCUAACACAUGCAAGUCGAACGGUAGCACAGAGAGCUUGCCCUCGGGUGACGAGUGGCGGACGGGUGAGUAACGUCUGGGAAACUGCCCGAUGGAGGGGGAUAACUACUGGAAACGGUAGCUAAUACCGCAUAACGUCGCAAGACCAAAGUGGGGGACCUUCGGGCCUCACACCAUCGGAUGUGCCCAGAUGGGAUUAGCUAGUAGGUGGGGUAAUGGCUCACCUAGGCGACGAUCCCUAGCUGGUCUGAGAGGAUGACCAGCCACACUGGAACUGAGACACGGUCCAGACGCCUACGUGAGGCAGCAGGGGGGAAUAUUGAACAAUGGGCGCAAGCCUGAUGCAGCCAUGCCGCGUGUAUGAAGAAGGCCUUCGGGUUGUAAAGUACUUUCAGCGGGGAGGAAGGCGGUGAAGUUAAUAGCUUCACCGAUUGACGUUACCCGCAGAAGAAGCACCGGCUAACUCCGUGCCAGCAGCCGCCGUAAUAC